AACACGAUCUCAAGAACACAGUCAAGAAUUCUCUUAAUAAGAAUCACUCUCUUAUUAAUAUCUUAAGGAAACUCACUCAAAACCUUAAGCCCUCAAUCACAAAUUAUUUCUUAUAUUAUGUCACACUUUGACAUCUCCAUAUAUAUAAGAAUAUAAAAUCCUAAACUCACAAGAUAAUGAUGUUUUAGAUAACUCCUAAACACUUAAGGACUUUCCUAUUUCCUAUUCCAUAACUCGGUAGGAAAUAGAUAACUUGACACUCAAGUUAUUUCAAGCUUGGUUCAACA
rnacentral:lncRNA from 1 species